AUUGAACGCUGGCGGCAGGCUUAACACAUGCAAGUCGAACGAGUGGCGGACGGGUGAGUAAUGCUUGGGAAUCUCGCUUAUGGAGGGGGAUAACUACGGGAAACUGUAGUAAAUACCGCGUACUAUAGGAUGAGCCCAAGUGGGAUUAGGUAGUUGGUGUGGUAGUGGCUCACCAAGCCGACGAUCUCUGGCUGGGCUGGGAGGAUGACCAGGCACACGGGGACUGGUGCACGGCCCAGACUCCUACGGGAGGCAGCAGUGGGGAAUGUUGCGCAAUGGGGGCAACCUGACGCAGCCAUGCCGCGUGAAUGAAGAAGGCCUUCGGGUUGUAAAGUUCUUUCGGUAGCGAGGCGUUAACUACAGAAGAAGCACCGGCUAACUCCGUGCCAGCAGCCGCGGUAAUUC
rnacentral:rRNA from 1 species